rnacentral:rRNA from 1 species
GACGAACGCUGGCGGCGUGCUUAACACAUGCAAGUCGAACGGAAAGACCCUGCUUUUGUGGGGUGCUCGAGUGGCGAACGGGUGAGUAACACGUGAGUAACCUGCCCUUGACUUUGGGAUAACUUCAGGAAACUGGGGCUAAUACCGGAUAGGAGCUCCUGCUGCAUGGUGGGGGUUGGAAAGUUUCGGCGGUUGGGGAUGGACUCGCGGCGUAUCAGCUUGUUGGUGGGGUAGUGGCUUACCAAGGCUUUGACGGGUAGCCGGCCUGAGAGGGUGACCGGCCACAUUGGGACUGGGAUACGGCCCAGACUCCUACGGGAGGCAGCAGUGGGGAAUAUUGCACAAUGGGCGGAAGCCUGAUGCAGCAACGCCGCGUGCGGGAUGACGGCCUUCGGGUUGUAAACCGCUUUCGCCUGUGACGAAGCGUGAGUGACGGUAAUGGGUAAAGAAGCACCGGCUAACUACGUG